rnacentral:piRNA from 1 species
GGCUCUUCAUUUGUUUCUGUAUUAGUGUC